UACGGAGGGUGCAAGCGUUAAUCGGAAUUACUGGGCGUAAAGCGUGCGCAGGCGGUUUGUUAAGUCCGUUGUGAAAGCCCCGAGCUCAACUUGGGAAUUGCAGUGGAUACUGGCAGGCUGGAGUACGGUAGAGGAAGGUGGAAUUCCCGGUGUAGCAGUGAAAUGCGUAGAUAUCGGGAGGAACACCAGUGGCGAAGGCGGCCUUCUGGACCAUAACUGACGCUGAGACGCGAAAGUCAGGGGAGCAAACAGG
rnacentral:rRNA from 1 species